UUAAGUGCUCAAAUAAGUUUAGUAAUGCCUCGUGCUCGACUCCGGCGACGGUCUCGGGUAAAGGGGCAUUACACCCUGUGUUUUCAGCAUCACCAAAAUUUACUUUUGAAUGCAGGGUUUAGUCAAAUCUUAUUAUUCUCGCCUCUAUGUUUACAUUUGAGCAGUUGACAAAUUGGUGAAAAGGAAGGCCAACACUGUGCACUGUCUCCGUUUUCCAGGUGAUUGGUUUAUUUUUGAAAAUGAGAUUGCUCAUAUAAGUUACAACAAAA